rnacentral:rRNA from 1 species
GACGAACGCUGGCGGCGUGCCUAAUACAUGCAAGUAGAACGCUGAAGGAGGAGCUUGCUUCUCUGGAUGAGUUGCGAACGGGUGAGUAACGCGUAGGUAACCUGCCUGGUAGCGGGGGAUAACUAUUGGAAACGAUAGCUAAUACCGCAUAAUAGUAGAUGUCGCAUGACAUUUGCUUAAAAGGUGCAAUUGCAUCACUACCAGAUGGACCUGCGUUGUAUUAGCUAGUUGGUGAGGUAACGGCUCACCAAGGCAACGAUACAUAGCCGACCUGAGAGGGGGAUCGGCCACACUGGGACUGAGACACGGCCCAGACGCCUACGGGAGGCAGCAGUAGGGAAUCGUCGGCAAUGGACGGAAGUCUGACCGAGCAACGCCGCGGGAGUGAAGAAGGUUUUCGGAUCGUAAAGCUCGGUUGUAAGAGAAGAACGAGUGUGAGAGUGGAAAGUUCACACUGUGACGGUAUCUUACCAGAAAGGGACGGCUAACUACGUG